CUCCAGACCAGGUUUAGGCUCUGCCCCUGUGUUUGGAGAGCAAGAAAUGAAACUAAGCUUUUUUUCAGGAAACUGAAACAGAGAAGCAGCCAAGUUUCGUUUUACGAUUCUUCUUGCUUCAUUUGAAUACUCCUGCUGACCUCAGCCCCAAACCUCCCCAGGUAGGAACUGGGCACUCCCAAUUCCCUCCACAUCUAGUAAGUGCUUACUGGGGAGGGCUCCAACUGCCUGUGGAGGAAACAGCAAAGUGGGACAGGACCAAACGCUUUGAUUCUACCUCUUCCCCUGUGACCCCAAACAGCUAGCCUUGUCCAAUAAGCACACUGGCAAAUCUCAAAAAAAAAAAAGUUGGGCGGAGCUCAGGACCACGGAUUUUUCUCCCGACUUUACAGGGAAAGGGCCCUUGAUUGAGAGGACUCAGAGUCCAUUUGAAAAAUCAGCACAUGUAUGUCUCGAUGGAGACACAGUGGAAAAAGUUCCUAGUCCCCUUGGCUUUUCUGGGAGCCAUGGUCAUCAUACUGUCAACCCUCCUGGGGGUUUACGCGUACAGAGCCAACUCAGAAGCCUGUCAGCAGGGCUUGGUGCUCCACAACGAAAGCCAGCAACUAAAGAAGAAGCUGAGGCAGAGCCAGGAAAGCUUCCUGGAGAUGGAGGCCCAAUGGUGGAGCUGCGGCAAUAUUUCGAGAAAAAAAGAACCCAGCAGAGACAAGUUCAGCACUCCCUGGCCCUCAGAUCUACUCUUUACUUCUGAGUCUAGGUCUGGCCAUUGCCUUGAUUCCCUGAGCAUCCUGAGCAAGGCACUUCCUACCCUUUCGGAGACUUCUAUGCUCUGGUUCCUGGUGUUAUUUCCUGAAGCUUAA
rnacentral:lncRNA from 1 species